AUGGAGGUGGUGACCGGUGCCAUGGGAAGCUUGCUCCCCAAGCUCGGCGAGCUGCUCGUGAGUGAGUACAAGCUGCAAAAGGGCGUCAAGGAGGACGUCGAGUCCCUCGAAAGGGAGAUGAAGAGCAUGAACGCUGCCCUCGUCAAGGUGGCGGAGGUGCCAAGGGACCAGCUGGACAACCAGGUCAUCAUCUGGGCUGACGAGCUCAGGGAGCUUUCGUACGACAUGGAGGAUGUUGUCGACAACUUUCUUGUGUACGUCAAGGGAUCUGAAUCCGAUGCUGUCACCGACUCAAACAAGCUCAAAGGGCUAAUGGUGAAGAUGACCAACUUGUUCACCAAAGGCAAGACUCGCCAUCAGAUUGCCGAUGCCAUGAGGGACAUCAAGAACCGCGCCCAAGAGGUGGCUGACCGGCAUAACAGGUACAGGGUCGACGAUGCAGUUGCCAAUGCAGCUGGCAAACACAAGGUUGACCCUCGUCUGCUGGCUCUAUACAAGACUCAGAAGGAGCUCGUUGGCAUUGAAGACGCACGGAACGAGCUAACCAAUAUGCUCACAGAUGGUGUUGGUGAUGGUGAUGUUCCCAAGAAACAGCACAUGAUGAAGAUGGUCUCAAUUCUUGGACCUGGAGGACUUGGCAAGACUACACUUGCUAAGGCAGUGUAUGAUACGCUUCAAACACAAUUUGAAUGCACAGCUUUUGUUCCAGUGGGUCGAAACCCUGAAGUGAAGAAAGUUUUAAGGGAUAUCCUUUUGGAGGUUGGCAAGAAGCAGGAGCAUAUUGGUGAUGUAGCCAUAUUGGAUGAAAGACAACUCAUCAACAUACUCCAACGACUACUUGAGAAUGCGAGGUACUUAAUUGUCAUUGAUGACAUAUGGGAUUUAGAAGCAUGGAACAUUAUCAAAUGUGCUUUGCUUGAUAACAAUCAUGGGAGCCGAGUAAUCACAACUACUCGUAUUCUCGAUGUUGCCACAAAUACCGGUGAUAUUUACAAGCUAAAACCCCUUUCUCAUCAUUUGUCCGAAGAAUUAUUCUAUACAAGAUUGUUUGGUGGUAAAGAUAAAUGCCCUUUUGGUCAACCAGCUGAAGUAUCAGACAAAAUUUUACAGAAAUGUGGAGGUGUGCCAUUAGCUAUAAUUACAAUAGCUAGUUUGUUGGCAGGUAAACCAAUGGAGGAUUGGUCUAAAGUAUUCAACUCCAUUGGUUUUGGAUCUGGAGAUAGCAACACAGAUGUAGAGAACACGAGGAAGAUAUUAUUAUUUAGUUAUUAUGAUCUACCUUAUUAUCUAAGGUCUUGUCUACUGCAUAUGAGCGUAUACCCAGAAGACUAUUUGAUCAGGAAAGACAAACUGAUAUGGCAGUGGGUCGCCGAAGGUUUCGUCAGUGAGGAACCAGGGGUAAGUUUAUUUGAGACCGGUGAAAGGUACUUUAAUGAACUUGCAAAUAGAAGCAUGAUUCAGCCGGUAGAGUAUCGGCAACCAUACACAAUAGAUGCUUGUCGUAUUCAUGAUAUGGUACUGGAUAUGAUUUGUCUAUUAUCAAAGCAACAAAAUUUUGUUACUAUAUUGGAUAGUAACGAGAAGAACAUACCUUCACCAUGCAAUGCCCGUAGGUUAGCUGUCCAAAAUAGAGCCGUGCCUCUGACUAACAUGAGCAUGCCAAAAGUGAGGUCGUGGUAUGCCAUCAUGUGUGAUCCCAAUGCAUUGCCGUCUCUUUCAAACUUUCAAGUAUUACGUGUUCUAGAUAUGGAAAAGUGCGGCUUUGACAAAGACCAUCCUUACCAUCUUGAGCAUUUCAGGAGGUUACCUCAGUUGAGAUACCUGGGCCUAAAGGGCACAUAUAUUAGUAAGCUCCCAGAAGAAAUAGGAGAACUAAAAUUUCUGCAGACACUGGACUUGAGGAGCACUUAUAUAAGAGAGUUACCAGAGAGUAUUGGUCUGUUAAGGCAACUCAAGUGUCUGCAUGCUGACGUGAAUGGUGUUGGUAUAACAGUGCCGAAUUGGAUAGGGAACCUGACAUCCUUGGAAGAGCUACAUUUGAAUGCUGCUGACAAGUCUUGUAUCUUUGUGAAAGAGCUCAGAAAGCUGACAGAGCUGAGGGUGCUCUUCUGUAGGUUAACUGCGGAUGUGGAUGAGUGCUGGAUGAAAUGUUUUGUGGAGUCUUUAUGCAAUCUGCGGAAAAUCCAAGUCCUAGGUCUAUAUUUUUCCCUCACGCAACCAACAUCCGAGUUAGAUGACUACUGGAAAGGCUAUGAGCCCCCUCGGCAACUCCGUGAUCUGUGCAUACAGCAUGGUUUUAGUAGGGUCCCGGCGUGGUUUAAUUGCUCGCUUCUUCCAAACCUCUCCAGCCUAGACAUGGAAGUGGGUGAUUUUGGGGAGCAAGAUGUGCUGAACUUUGGGGGUUUGCCAGAGCUUACUUGCCUUUGGAACGCGAUUCCUGGGGGCAUGGAAUUCCCUGAUGGUGCUUUCCCCAAGUUGAGAAUCUGCAGGGUGCAUGCGCCAUUCAGGUUUCUGCAGGGAAGUAUGCAGAGCCUUGAAUCCAUUUAUAUCAUAGUGCACGUGCGUGCCUUGAAGGAUGCCAGCACUGAUUUAGACUUUAUUGGUAGCCUGGGGGACCUCCCUUCGGUUCGGAGAGUUGACGCUCAGAUCGGUUGCAAUGGUGCCUCUGCUUCUGAUAUUGAAAAGGUGAAGGCAGCGGUGAGGCAAGCAAUCGACACCCAUCCCAACCGUCCCACCCUUCAUCUCGAUGCAUAUGGUCUACCACAGACUGACGAAGAAAAAUCAGACUUGGAACAGACCAAACAGGAGUUGCUAGUAGCCCCCUGUUUGGAUCAUACUACCAGCGUUGGUACGUCUGCUCAGCUAAUCAACGACAACAACGACGAGGAAGAAGAAUCGGACUCUGUGAAGACCGAACAAAAGUCCGACCACGAAGAUGAGAACCGUCCUGGACCUCACCUAACAGAAAGCAGCGUUGACAUCGCCAGCACAUCUCCUCCGGUGCCCGCGCAGCGACAGACGUGGAGGCGGUGGGCGUGGUUCGCUUGCCUCAACUCAGGCAGCAGCAAUUCCGCUGCACCUUCCACAGCAGGUUCAAAGCAAUGUGGCGGUUCAGGGCAGGGGAUGGGUCGUCAGGAAGCAGAGGAUGAUAGUGAGGCUGCUCAGCCCUGA
rnacentral:rRNA from 1 species